CUUGCUGGGUGGAUUAGUGGCGAACGGGUGAGUAACACGUGAGUAACCUGCCCCUGACUCUGGGAUAAGCGUUGGAAACGACGUCUAAUACUGGAUAUGACUGCCGGCCGCAUGGUCUGGUGGUGGAAAGAUUUUUUGGUUGGGGAUGGACUCGCGGCCUAUCAGCUUGUUGGUGAGGUAAUGGCUCACCAAGGCGACGACGGGUAGCCGGCCUGAGAGGGUGACCGGCCACACUGGGACUGAGACACGGCCCAGACUCCUACGGGAGGCAGCAGUGGGGAAUAUUGCACAAUGGGCGAAAGCCUGAUGCAGCAACGCCGCGUGAGGGAUGACGGCCUUCGGGUUGUAAACCUCUUUUAGUAGGGAAGAAGCGAAAGUGACGGUACCUGCAGAAAAAGCACCGGCUAACUACGUGCCAGCAGCCGCGGUAAUACGUAGGGUGCAAGCGUUGUCCGGAAUUAUUGGGCGUAAAGAGCUCGUAGGCGGUUUGUCGCGUCUGCUGUGAAAUCCCGAGGCUCAACCUCGGGCUUGCAGUGGGUACGGGCAGACUAGAGUGCGGUAGGGGAGAUUGGAAUUCCUGGUGUAGCGGUGGAAUGCGCAGAUAUCAGGAGGAACACCGAUGGCGAAGGCAGAUCUCUGGGCCGUAACUGACGCUGAGGAGCGAAAGCGUGGGGAGCGAACAGGAUUAGAUACCCUGGUAGUCCACGCCGUAAACGUUGGGCGCUAGAUGUAGGGACCUUUCCACGGUUUCUGUGUCGUAGCUAACGCAUUAAGCGCCCCGCCUGGGGAGUACGGCCGCAAGGCUAAAACUCAAAGGAAUUGACGGGGGCCCGCACAAGCGGCGGAGCAUGCGGAUUAAUUCGAUGCAACGCGAAGAACCUUACCAAGGCUUGACAUACACCGGAAACGGCCAGAGAUGGUCGCCCCCUUGUGGUCGGUGUACAGGUGGUGCAUGGUUGUCGUCAGCUCGUGUCGUGAGAUGUUGGGUUAAGUCCCGCAACGAGCGCAACCCUCGUUCUAUGUUGCCAGCGCGUUAUGGCGGGGACUCAUAGGAGACUGCCGGGGUCAACUCGGAGGAAGGUGGGGAUGACGUCAAAUCAUCAUGCCCCUUAUGUCUUGGGCUUCACGCAUGCUACAAUGGCCGGUACAAAGGGCUGCGAUACCGUAAGGUGGAGCGAAUCCCAAAAAGCCGGUCUCAGUUCGGAUUGAGGUCUGCAACUCGACCUCAUGAAGUCGGAGUCGCUAGUAAUCGCAGAUCAGCAACGCUGCGGUGAAUACGUUCCCGGGCCUUGUACACACCGCCCGUCAAGUCAUGAAAGUCGGUAACACCCGAAG
rnacentral:rRNA from 2 species